rnacentral:rRNA from 1 species
UACGAAGGGGGCUAGCGUUGCUCGGAAUUACUGGGCGUAAAGCGCACGUAGGCGGAUCUUUAAGUCAGGGGUGAAAUCCUGGAGCUCAACUCCAGAACUGCCUUUGAUACUGAGGACCUUGAGUUCGGGAGAGGUGAGUGGAACUGCGAGUGUAGAGGUGAAAUUCGUAGAUAUUCGCAAGAACACCAGUGGCGAAGGCGGCUCACUGGCCCGUAGUACUGAC